rnacentral:rRNA from 1 species
UGGAUCCAGACUUUGAUUAUGGCUCAGGAUGAACGCUAGCUACAGGCCUAACACAUGCAAGUCGAGGGGAAACGGCAGCUUAGCUUGCUAAGCUGGACGUCGACCGGCGCACGGGUGAGUAACGCGUAUCCAACCUGCCCCACGGUGAGGGAUAACCCGCGGAAACGCGGCCUAAUACCUCAUGGUCUCCGAGCUUGACAUCAACCUUGGAGUAAAGAUUCAUUGCCGUGGGAUGGGGAUGCGUCUGAUUAGCUUGUUGGCGGGGCAACGGCCCACCAAGGCAACGAUCAGUAGGGGUUCUGAGAGGAAAGCCCCCCACAUUGGAACUGAGACACGGUCCAAACUCCUACGGGAGGCAGCAGUGAGGAAUAUUGGUCAAUGGGCGAGAGCCUGAACCAGCCAAGUAGCGUGCAGGAAGACGGCCCUAUGGGUUGUAAACUGCUUUUAUGCGGGGAUAAAGCGGGCGACGUGUCGCCCUUUGCAGGUACCGCAUGAAUAAGGACCGGCUAAUUCCGUGCCAGCAGCCGCGGUAAUACGGAAGGUCCGGGCGUUAUCCGGAUUUAUUGGGUUUAAAGGGAGCGCAGGCCGGGUAUUAAGCGUGUUGUGAAAUGUAGGCGCCCAACGUCUGCACCGCAGCGCGAACUGGUGCCCUUGAGUACGCACGACGUUGGCGGAAUUCGCCGUGUAGCGGUGAAAUGCUUAGAUAUGGCGAAGAACUCCGAUUGCGAAGGCAGCUGACGGGAGCGCUACUGACGCUCAUGCUCGAAAGCGCGGGUAUCGAACAGGAUUAGAUACCCUGGUAGUCCGCGCGGUAAACGAUGGAUGCCCGCUAUUUGCGCAUUAGCGCAAGUGGCCAAGUGAAAACGUUAAGCAUCCCACCUGGGGAGUACGCCGGCAACGGUGCAACA